AGAGAGAGAGAGAGAGAGAGAGAGAGAGAGAGAGAGUANNNNNNNNNNNNNNNNNNNNNNNNNNNNNNNNNNNNNNNNNNNNNNNNNNNNNNNNNNNNNNNNNNNNNNNNNNNNNNNNNNNNNNNNNNNNNNNNNNNNNNNNNNNNNNNNNNNNNNNNNNNNNNNNNNNNNNNNNNNNNNNNNNNNNNNNNNNNNNNNNNNNNNNNNNNNNNNNNNNNNNNNNNNNNNNNNNNNNNNNNNNNNNNNNNNNNNNNNNNNNNNNNNNNNNNNNNNNNNNNNNNNNNNNNNNNNNNNNNNNNNNNNNNNNNNNNNNNNNNNNNNNNNNNNNNNNNNNNNNNNNNNNNNNNNNNNNNNNNNNNNNNNNNNNNNNNNNNNNNNNNNNNNNNNNNNNNNNNNNNNNNNNNNNNNNNNNNNNNNNNNNNNNNNNNNNNNNNNNNNNNNNNNNNNNNNNNNNNNNNNNNNNNNNNNNNNNNNNNNNNNNNNNNNNNNNNNNNNNNNNNNNNNNNNNNNNNNNNNNNNNNNNNNNNNNNNNNNNNNNNNNNNNNNNNNNNNNNNNNNNNNNNNNNNNNNNNNNNNNNNNNNNAGAGAGAGAGAGAGAGAUUUAAUUUUGUUUAUUUUGAAUCAUAAUCACUAGAUGGUGGAAAUUAAUCAUCUAAUGGAUAGGUUUUUGAUACAUUGAGUGAUUGAUGGCCAAAAUUAUGAUCGUGAUCGUGACCCUUUUUUCUAAUUGUGAUUGUCGACCAACUAAUCGUGAUUGUCGAUAUGAUGAUUGAGUGAUUGUGAUUAUUAUUGUAAGGAUUGGACAAUUAUGAUCGAUGUAUCUUUGUGAGAGGCAUGAUUCUCUAUGCUUUUUAUGUUUUAUCAUCAGUGAAAAUGAGGACUAGCAAAGCGGAUUGAGAGGCAUCAAUCACCCCCAACUUUCAUUGUCACUUCCACAAUGCACUGACAUUGUUAUUUUUCUGUCUUUGCCUUCCAUCAGAAGGUGCGAGGUAUAGGAAAGGGAGAAAAAUGGAAGACAACUUUAACACGGCUUGGAUUUUAGAGAUUCACAUCAUACUAGUAAGUAGAGAUUGAAUAAUGUCUUACAUAGAGUUCAUUAUCUUUUAUGUUAGUAAUUGAGAAUAAUUAUUUGUAAUGAACAAAAAUAUGAUUGUAAAACAUGAAUUUAGUGAAUUCCUAUAAGUCAAUAGGUGGGAGAGAUAAAAAAAUCUAAAACUAAAUUUAAAAUCUUGAGCUUCAAAUAAACUACUGAGAACAACAACAAAAAGGUGAUCACAUGGGAUUAACAAAAAUAAUGAAAAGGAUUUAAGAACAAGGAGUAAGAGGAAAUAUCAUGUUUGAGAUGAUCAAUCUUCUUUGUCAUUGUCUUUCAAAAUAUUCCUCCCCCUCUUUUUCUCAUUUCUCUUUAUUUUAUAAAUGCUUGAAUCAUUAUGUUUGUCAUUUGAAUCAAGUUAAACUUAUGCCUUUAAUAUAAAAAAAAGAGACCCAUGAGCCUUUAUAACAAGGAUGUGUGUUGUUGUUACCCUUGGUCCUUAUUUGACAUACCUUUGUAGUGGUGGCAUGGGCUAUGUCUUUGCGUGCAUGCACUAUCUUAUUAUAUGCGCUUGCCAUGCUAUUAUGUGCAUACGAUGUGGUGACAUGUACAAAUACAAUGUCGCAUUGCAUGCUUGUCAUGCGGCUAUGUGCACAUGUCAUGUCAUCUUGCACACCCAUCGGCACAACCACCUUGCGUGGGUGUCAAGCCAUCACAUAUAGGUGUUGAGCCAUCAUGUGCACAUGUUGUGCCAUCAUACACACAUGUCAUACCAUCCUGUGGGCCUAUCGUGUCAUCGUGCGACUAUAUGUUACUCAAGUCAUACCUUACAAGUUGGCCCGAGUAACAUUUUUCCCCACCUAAGAAAUCUAGUGAUCUGGCUAGGUGUUGACAAUUAUGUUAGUCUUAGAUCAGCUCUUUUAAUUAUUAUAAGUUGACAUCUUUUACCCAAGUGACCUCUUCACAGGGUAAACCCACCCAUUAGAUGAGAUAUAAGGUGUUACAAUAAGCCUGGUUAGGGCUACCCUUGUCAACCACCUGAUGCAUUAAAUAUCCUUCAUUUGAUCAUAAUAGUAAGUCUAAAUAAUUAGCUGGGGUUGAUGUGAAUAAUUUUGCUCUAGGUCAGUAUCAUCCAUAUAAUAGAUAUUGAGAAGGAAAAUCUGAAAGAUGAGAUUGACUAUGAGUUUUGGUAAGAGUAAAAGUCAAUAAGUCAGAUGUCACAAUUUGGAAUAGAUUGUUGUAUCGAUGUAUGAGGUUGUUGUGGCACUUCUAUUGUUAGAGGCUUUUGUGCAAUAAAGAUAUACAAAGGAUAACCUAACCACUGACGUUAUGCUUGAUCUCCUAAUGAUGACGAUAUAUGUUCUUUUUCAUGUGCCUAACUACAGAUGUUAAGGCUUCACGAGCUUUCUCUAAGAUGUCUGCCCGUUGUGCAUAGCAGUAAGCCACAAGUAGUGUGGACCCUAUUAUUUGACGCUUCUUGUGGUGUGAGAGAUUGGUGUCAUGUUUCCAACUCAAAUAGAGACUGCCCCAUUGAUGCACACUAUUUGAUGUUGUGGGCAAAUAAGGUGAGGUCUAAGAGAUCAAUCAAGUUGUCUUAGCAGGUGGUGACGUAGUAGUGUAGUUAAUCUAUCCAUAUGUCUAUAGAUGGAAGGUAAUGAAAAAAUUGAGUUUAACACUAAGUAGGGAGAAGAGAAGAUGAUUGAUUAGAAAUAUCCGAUGAAGUAAGAAUCUCAAUCAAACACUAUGUUUUGUGAAAUAUCCUAGAGUUUCAUGAUGUGUUAUAAAAAGAGGUCUACUAUCUCAUUAGACUUGUAGUUAGAACGAAUAAAUAUAAAAGUGACAUAUUUGAAGAAUUAGUUGAUGACUAAGAUAACGUCUGAAUUGUCAAUUUGAUGUAAGUUGGUGAUGAAGUUCAUGGACAGUAAUUUUUAGGAUCCCUUUAGUAUAUGAAGAGGUUCAAGUGUUCAUAUAGCACUCAUAUGUUUUACCUUGUCUUAUUUACAAAUCAGACAUGAGUGUACAUAGAUUUCCACAUCUGUUUCAUGUGUGACUAGUAAUAACUCUCCACAAUGAGUGUCAACAUGAGUUGCUACUUUAAGUGUCUUAUGGCGAUGCAUCGUGGGUCUCUCGGAUUAACUUUCAUUGUAAUUGACUUCUUAAGAAACAUAUGGAUAUUUCCCUUCUCAAUACAUGAUGUUCUCUUUCAUUUAAAAUCGGUUGGUGUCACUAGUCUCAAUUUACUAUAUUAGAUACUAUGUUGUAAGGUUGGUGGUAUAUGUUGCAUAGAUGAUGUCUAAUAGAUUGUCAGUAUUAAUUGAAAUUCUAGACCUCAAAAGUUGAGUUUUGAAACUCGUGCAUGAUUUUUGAAAUGAGUGUUGAAUUUUCUAUCAACAUAAUUUGCCCUCAAUGAAUAAUUAGAUUAUCUUUCAACUGAUAAUACAUCGAUCUUUAUAAAUGUUGAGAUACUCCCUAUUAUAUUUUUUCAUCUAUAAUCAUUUUUUUGGAAACCUAAUAUCUCAAAUAAUUGACCUUUGCUUGUCCAAAAUAAUAGUUACUCGUAUUUAUAUUGAGUUUGUUAGUUAACUACAAAAAGUAAUAUUUGUGCAAUGUCUUAUAUGAGUUAUAUGUAAGAAUGUCAUAAAAAAAUACCAACAUUAAUCAUAUGAGAAAAUUAUUGAAGAGAUGAUUCAAAGAGAUUGAAAAGUAGUAAGGAGCAUUUGUUAGUUUAAAAGAUGACUACAAUUAAAUAAUAACGUUUAUCUGUUCUAGAGGUAAUUUUAAGCACACUUUCUUUUCUCCCUAAAAUUUGGUAGUAUUAAGAUCUUAAGUUGAGUUUAGAAAAAAAUAGUUGCAUCAUUUAAUUCAUCAAAUAACUCUUCACUAAGAAGUACAAAAAAAAAUUGAGUAUUGUGAACUUAUUUAAUUUUUUAUAAGCAAUAUAUAAGCUCUUGUCCCUAUUUUUUUACCAACAAUGUGGGGCUCAAAAAAGGGCUAUGUGGAUAUUAGAUAAUCUUGAACUACAACAUCUCUUUAACUAGCUUUUAAAUUUAAAUUUUAUAAAAAUAUUAACAUAGGUAAGGUUUUCAAUUGAUGACUUGGAUAUUUUUGUUAAAGAUUAUUGGGUGAUUUGUUUAUUUAUUGGGCUGAAAGUUAGUUAGUCUUUAUAACAAUGUAGUAAGCUAUUCCCAACUUAAUUUUGAUGACCCUUCAGUAUUGAUCUCAAUGAAAUAUAGUUCUAGAUAUAGUACUAAAGGCAAGGAUAUAUUAUAAUCACUUAGAGAUUCCUCUGCAUAUAAAAUAAUAUAAUAUGAACUUUACUUUAGUGUCAAGUCUAGUGAUCAAAAUCAAUAGUGAUUUUCUUCUAUCCUUUAACCACUUUAACCCUAAAAUGAUGUUUCUCAAGGUGAGAGGUGGAAUCAAAAAAUCUUCACAAACAAUGAGGGAUGGAAAUUAUAUGAUAAAUCUUGAACAUCAUACAGACCCUAACCACUUACCACGUAUGUCAAUCAUUAUAAAAUAAUAUGAAAUAGGGUGCACAUCCAUUUGAAGAUUUUUCACAUCAUUUGGGCAACGAAAAUGUGUGUGGCACACAUGUCUACCAAUAUUGUGACUAUUUACUUCCUCACCUUGCCCUUAAAUUUGUAGCCUCUCUUCAUUUGACUAGAGGUCAUUUAGUCUAAUGACACUUUUAGAUUUAUAGGAGAUUUAUUUUUGUGAAGUUUAAAUUGUUCAUUCAAUCUAGGGCUAAGACAUUCAUCUUCCUCAAUGAUCAAUAUAUUUAUUUCCUUGCAACACUUAUGUCUUAGCUCAUACUUGUCAUUACAUAAAUAAUAAAAUCUUUGUGUAUGCCUUGUUUGAAUUUUUACUAUAGUUUAAUUUAGUUAUCUUCAUUCCGAUGGAACUUUUCCCAUGUAAAGAGUGUUGUCAUCAUUUUAAAUUCAUCUUGCUGUUGUUAUCUAUUGAGUUCUAUUAGUGUACUCAAAAUUCAUAACCAUGUUAUUUUUCUUCUUGAUUCAUUGUACUAUUUUUAUGACCUCAUUCAAUUCAAUAUGAUUGAAAAGAGUUACCUUCGCUUGUAUGUCUUCUUGAAACCCUUUUAAAAAUAUUGUUUCUAAAAUAUUUCUUGUCACAUCAUGUAUUGUGGAGACCAUAGAUUAGAAUUCCUCACAAUACUUUGAUAUAAUUCUAAUUUUUUUAAUUUCAAGAAAUUGUUGAUAGAUAAAUCCAACCCUUGGAACUCCAAAUUACUCUAAUAAUGAUUCCUUCAAUUUUGACUAGUUUUUAAAAGGUUCUUAGGUAAUACUUUUCUUGCUAGAUUUACACUAGCUGACCAUACUUUGUCUUCUUCUAAAAAUUGAAAGUAGAAAAAUAUAAUUCUAGCUUGUAUAUCCAUUCUUCAAGGUCUUUGCCUAAAAAUCUUAGUAAUUAUAAUCUUUUCCCCUCAAAUUGUAGAUCAUAUGUUGUUUGAUGAGACAUCUGAAUGGCACCACGAUUGGUGAUUGUCCACAAUCUAGAAUGGUUGGUUCACAUGCGUCCAUGUGUUGAUGAUGAUACUCAUCUUAAUCAGUAUUCCUUUGAUUUCUUUUGUAUGUUAGACAAUAAUAUCUAAGUGAUAUUGUAUCAUGAAAAUUUCUUUAUAGUUUCUCUUAAGUAUUAUCAAGUUUUGUUGUGAUUCUUAGUGCAUCUCUUAUAUUCCCUCUUUAGCAUCUCUAUUCAAAUAUCUUCAGAUUCUAAAGACAUUGUCUAGCUCUGAUAUCACAUUUGUUAGUCAUUGGAGAGAACCUUUUGUAUUGAACCUAAAUAUGAUUAUACAUCACAAAUUGGGUGAAUUCUUGCAAGUCAAUUAGUAGAGAACAAGAACAAAUCCAUAACAGAAUUAUAAAAUCUUGAGUUUUAAUUACACCGCUAAGAAUAACAAGAAAAAGGUGAUCACAAGGGAUUAACAAGAAUAAUAACAAGGGUUUAAAAAUAGGGUGCAAUGGGAAAUGACAUAUUUGAGAUGAUCAAUCUCCUCUUUUACUCUCUUCUAGAAUCCUCCUCCCCCUCUUAUUCUCCUCUCUCUUUCUUCUAUAUAUUUUUGAAUUGUUAUGUUUAUUAUUUGAAUUGAGGCAAACCUGGGCCUUUAUUAUUAAAAAGAACAUGGCCCGUGACCCUCUUAGCUUGCUAGAGUUAUUGAUAGGUUGUUAAAACUGUUAUAAUCAUAUAGAGUGUGGAGUUCUUUGACUCCUUUUACUCCUUGGUAGUCCAACUUUUGCUAGUAAACUAUCUUGAUACUUUCGGAAAAUCCCAAUUCUUUCCCUGCCUGCAAUCUUUCUUCUCUUCCUCCGUUGAAAUAGAUCUCGUCUAUGCAUAGUCUUGAUUCAGAGAUUUGCACCAUAUUAGUUAGAAGAGAUCAUGUGGCAUUUGAAAGUUAUUAGAGUUCAUUGCAUGUUAACUCUCAAUGAAUUAUGAUUCUUCCACUUCUUGUGAUCUUUCUUCACUUCAUCCAUUGGAAUCAACUUGGUUGAGAUAUUAGAGACAACCAACAUGAUAUGAAAUUCCGAAGAAUUGUUGUGCCUGCUGGCACAAUUGUGAGGAAGAAGCACCCUUUAAAACCUGAGGACGUUGGCCAAAAUCCGAUCAACUCAGAUUUUCACUUUUUGGGCCGUAUUGCGACGGAGGAAGCGGCCCACAAUGACCCUUUCCGGCCCUCCUUUUUACCAGCGUCCAAUUAGUGGGCCCGGCUGACCAUUCGCCGCGGCCCAUUUCCCGGCAGUCCACUGUAAGUCUUUCUUGACCCCCUUUUCUACAGCCGUCCAAUUGGUGGGCCCUCUAAACCUUUCACCAAGGCCCAUUCACGCGGUUCGCCUCCACCUCCCGCCUGCAAUGUGGGCCCUUUCUCCAUCCGACCGUUCGUCCGUUCCUAAUUUUCAGAUAAUUCUUUUAUUAUUCAUAACUCGAAAAAAAAGUCGCCAUUAGCCUUAAAUCCCGGUCAAGAAAUAUGUUGACUUUUGUGGAGUAGUAUUCCACUUAAUUAUUUACACGUUGAUGCCGAUAUAGGGAAAGAAUCACACCAAUUGUUGGCCGACAUGGCGGGUGCCGGGAAAACUUUGGGCCACGUGCCGAGGAGCCCGAUUUGGCCCCGUCUCCGGCAGCACGCCACGGCUCAAGGCGGCGGUGCGGGGUGUCGGAAUGGACAGGCGCGCGUGGAACUGGCAUCGCACGUGGAGGGACGGCAGCUGCCGCCGGUGAAAAAAAAAGUGGGGCCCGCCACUCUCCUUCCCGACCGUUGCCCUCCCCCCCCCCCCCCUGCGGAUAAGGUAGGGGCUCGGUGGGCUUCCGGGCCCGCUCGAGCACGGGCGUAAAGCAGCCGGCCUUCUUCAUCUUCAUGAAUACCUGCCCCGUCGAAAUGCCACUCCGUUCAUCCUCUCUCUCCUCUCUCUCUCUCAUGAUUACCGAAUCAUGUGACGUCACUCGUCUAUCAUCUCUCGUAUCUUCCACUUGCACGUAAUCAAGGGGAAUACGAGCUGGGUUUUACGUAGAUCCCGGAGAUUAGUCCACGUGUGGUCUAAUUCAGCCAAAAUAAGUGUUUUUUUUAAUGUUAAAAGCUGGGAAGUACCGGAGACGUUCAGGACACCGAAAAAUCUGUUCUUUGGAAUCGGUAGUGGAGGAAACAAGGGGCCGCGCCAAGAUCGUACGUAUCUCUCGGCGAUGUUGACUUGCCCGAGGGGGCAGUCGCCGUACGGGUGGCUGGCGGUCAGCGGAGGCCGCCUCAGGUCCAUCUUGUUUGCCCUUCCGGCCAGGGCAAUGGCGACGGGUCCUCGAGGGAGGCCCCGCGGUCAGUGUGAAAUCCCGGCGCGGGGCGAGCCCUUUGAUGGCGGCGGCGACGUCCGGGCAACGGCACGUCCCUUCACUUCACCUUGUCCGGGUGGUUUCUGGCCCGGCCACCCCUCCCCCAUCCUUCCGACAGCUCUCUCUCUGUCUCUGUUUCUCUCUCUAUCUCUCUCUACCCGGGUUUGGCGGUCCUGACGAGGACAGGUGCCGGCCCCUUGGUCUUCUUGGGGGCUUCCGGCGUCUGUUCUCGCUGAAAUGCUGCCUGCGUCGCCUGGGUCCGCUCAGAGCGGUCCUCACUCGGCCCUCAACUCCUGAAUUAACUCGCCGCCGCUUCGGCAUCUGGGGAGAUGCCGUGAUUGCUGGGCACUGACAGUUGGGCGCCGGAGGCGGGGCUCCGCUCUCGGCGGCAGUGCAGCGGCGGAACGGGCGGAGGAGUAAAUGGAAGUGGGGGAGAUCUCGGAGUUCCAAAUAAAGAAAUCAGGGGAAGCGGGAGGGCGUGGGCUGCAGUGCUGAUAAGGACAGAAAGAGAAAGGCCCGGAAAGUCGAAACUCGAAAGCGCGACUGCCGGCCAUUGGAAGAGCUUCUGUUCUUCUUCGUCGUCGUCGUCUCAUUUUCUUACCCACCCCAAAAUUUUCUCCCCUCAAUCGCCCCUCCGGGGAGGUGAAUGGCGGUGGUUCGAGCGGACCCAUUUCUCGGACGAGCUUCGGAAUAGGGGGGGCGGCCGGAUCGACCCCCUCCCCCCUCCCUCUGCUCUCCACAUCCGCGAGUCAAGAAGAGCCGUGUUCCCGUGUUCCGACGAGCGGGAGAGAAAGUGGCGAUGUGGGUCUCCGCAAAACCAAGGCAGCCGUCAGUCUUCUUCCGGAUCAAGACAAGCCGUCGGAUCCUUUAAUCCCUGGGACUGCCGGCGGCCGCGGCGCGCUGGUUUCUGCCGAGGAGAGAGAGGGAGAGAGAGAGAGCCGAUUUGCGAGCUCUGAGCCUGCCGGGCUGUGCUUCUCCGUCGUCUACGUUCUCCUGCUGGGAGAGCUGUGGGGCUUGUGGAUCUCCUUCUCCGUCGACUGGUCCCGCCUGCGGUGGUGACUGGGUUGUUGAUGUGUGGACCUGGUGGUUGCCUCGCGGGAAAGUCGGAUUUGAUGCUUUAGACUCUCUGGAUGAUGGGGAAGCGCGGCGAGGGUGGAAAUCUUGAGACCUCGCCUUUCUCCGGUGGCCCGAGAGGAUCCAGUGGGUGGGAUUUUGGUGGAAGCUGAGGGACGAGCUGGGUCUCCUCCGCCCCGCUCCUUCUCUAAGAAUGGUGGAGGUCCGGUUCUCGACGUGAAGCGAGGUGCCGUGUUGCGGGGCUCGGAAGCAUCUGUUCGCUGAAUUCGACGUCAAUCUGACCUACUGCUCGUCUCUCGUGUAGGGGUUCCCUGCUCGUCUCAGGCCGCCGCCAUUAAUGGGGCUCUGGAGUUCUCUGACCCGCGGAGGUGCGCCGACGUUCUGGAUUUCAGAGGCUGCGGAUUCUCCUCCGGCCGUUUCUCUCUGCUCAGAGUUUCUUGCCUCGGCGGGAGAGGAGGCGUCCGCCUGAUAUCUGGGUAGCUCAACUUGAUGUGAUCCUGGUGAUUUCUUUUCUUCUGCAAAUCACGAAGAACUCAGCUAGAUAACAGUCUCGAUCGCACUUUCCGUAACGCCGGGCGAUCGAUCUGCGUUACCAUCUCUCUCCCUUUAUAUGUGAUCCCGACCAGCCGGUGACGGUGAAUAUGCCGAAGGGUUCGAGAUUCGGGGGAGCUCGUGGCAUCUCCGAGGUCUGCUGUGCAGUCGCCGUUGCCGUGGUCCUCUCCAUGGCCUGUCAAUGCAGAGCUCUGAACUCGGAAGGAAAGCUCCUGUUGGAGGUGAAGAGCAAGCUCGGGGACGACCUCGGCCGCCUUGCGAACUGGAACCCUAACGACAAGACUCCGUGCGCGUGGACUGGGGUGGUCUGCUCAGAAAUCAGCAACCGGAGCCAAGUCGUCGUUAAAGAGCUUCGUCUGGGAUCCAAGAAUCUCUCGGGAACUCUCUCUCCGAGAAUAUGCGGGUUGACCCACCUGUCCUUGCUCGAUCUGUCCUUCAAUUCUCUCUCUGGCGGCAUCCCGAAGGAGAUCGGGACCUGCUCGAGCCUGGUCUUCCUCUACCUCAACGACAACAAUCUUCAGGGAGGGAUCCCGCCGGAGCUGGGGAGGCUGUCCUUGUUGCAGGAGCUCAAUCUCUGCGAGAACCGGAUAUCGGGUGUUCUUCCAGAGGAGAUCGGGAACCUCCACUCCCUGGUGGAGCUGGUCGCCUACACCAACAACAUCACCGGCUCGCUGCCGCCGUCCAUCGGGAGGCUCAAGAACCUGGCCGUCUUCCGUGCGGGGCAGAACCUGAUCUCCGGCGUCAUCCCCCCGGAGAUCGGCGGGUGCCGGAGCCUGAAGGUUCUCGGCCUGGCAGAGAACCAGCUGCAGGGAGAGAUCCCCGUCGAGCUCGCGAGGCUCGGAAAUCUGACGGAGCUGGUCCUCAGGAAUAACAAGCUCUCCGGGAGGAUCCCCAAGGAGCUCGGGAACUGCGUCAAGCUCCAGACCAUCGCUCUGUAUCAGAACAACCUGGUGGGGGAGAUUCCUGUGGAGAUUCUGCGGCUCGGAUCUCUGCAAAAGCUGUACCUUUACCGGAAUGGGCUGAAUGGGUCGAUCCCGAAGGAGAUCGGCAACCUCUCCUCGGCCACGGAGAUCGAUUUCUCGGAGAAUUUCUUGACCGGGGGGAUCCCCGCCGAGCUGGGCAGGAUCAAGGGCCUGCAGCUGCUGUACCUGUUCCAGAACGCGUUGACGGGGGGCAUCCCCCCCGAGCUGUUCAGUCUGAAGAACUUGACCAAGCUGGAUCUGUCCAUCAAUGGCCUCUCUGGCCCGAUCCCCCUCGAAUUGCAGUAUAUGCCCCAGCUGGCCCAGCUGCAGCUCUUCAGCAACAACUUGACCGGUGAUAUUCCCCAGGAGCUCGGGAUGCACAGUCCGCUCUGGGUGGUUGACUUCUCGGAGAACAAUCUAGAGGGCCAGAUUCCCAGGAACCUCUGCCGGCGCUCCGGCCUCAGCCUGCUGAACCUGGGUUCGAACAGGAUCACCGGGAAUAUCCCCAGCAGCAUCACCAACUGCGUCUCUCUGGUUCAGCUCCGCCUGGGCAACAACAGCCUCACGGGGAGCUUCCCCUCCGACCUGUGCAAGCUGGUCAACCUGACGACCAUCGAGCUGGACCAGAACAAGUUCAGCGGCGCCCUUCCGCCGGAGAUCGGCAACUGCACGGCACUGCAGAGGCUCGAUCUGCACAGCAACUUCUUCGCCUCCGAGCUGCCCAGGGAGAUCGGCCGCCUCUUCCAGCUGGUGAUCUUCAACAUCUCCUCCAACGAGUUCCUCGGCGGAGUUCCCCCGGAUUUAGUCAACUGCAAGAGGCUCCAGCGGGUGGACAUCAGCCAGAACCGCUUCACCGGCGGCCUGCCGGAGGGGCUGGGCGGCCUCACGCAGCUGGAGCUGCUCAACGUCGCCGAUAACCAGCUAUCUGGGGCGAUCCCCGUCAUUCUUGGAAUCCCUCGGCUGAUGGAGCUGCAGAUGGGGGGCAACAGAUUCAGCGGGGAGAUACCCAGAGAACUCGGCGGGAUCUUCAGCUUGCAGAUCGCGCUGAAUCUCAGCUACAACAACCUCUCCGGGCCGAUCCCUCCCCAGCUCGGGAGCCUCAGGAUGCUGGAAUGCCUGCUGCUCAACAACAACCAUCUCUCCGGCGAGAUCCCCUCUACAUUUGCGAACCUCCUCAGUCUGCGCGAGCUGAACCUCUCUUACAACGAUCUGUCGGGGCCGCUCCCGCCGAUAUCUCUGUUCGAGAACAUGAGCGCGAGCAGCUUCGCGGGGAACAGGGGCCUGUGCGGCGGCGCCGCCCUCGGCCCCUGCGGCGGCAACUCCGCCGCGCCCACUCCGGUGUCUUUGGAGGGGUUCAGGACGCGGACGGGGAGGAUCGUGGCGCUGGUUUCUGCCGCCGUAGGCGGGGUCUCCCUGGUUCUCAUCGUCGUCAUCAUCUACUUCAUGAGGCGGCCGGUGGAGACGGUGGCCCCCGUGCAGAAGCAGCCGCCACUGUCCUCGUCCUCGUCCUCCUCCGGCCUGCAAGUCUCCCCGGACAAGGGCUUCACCUUCCAGGACGUGAUCAAGGCCACGAACAACUUCGACGAGGGCUUCGUGAUCGGGAAGGGAGCCUGCGGGACGGUUUACAGGGCGAUGAUGAGCUCCGGGCAGACCGUGGCCGUGAAGAGGCUGUCUUCGCACAGAGAAGGGAACACCAUGGACAACAGCUUCAGGGCGGAGAUCUUGACCUUGGGGAAGAUCAGGCACAGGAACAUAGUCAAGCUCUACGGCUUCUGCUACCACCGGGGGGCCAACCUGCUCCUCUACGAGUACAUGUCCAGGGGGAGCCUGGGGGAGCUGCUCCAUGGCGACGAGGAGCAGCAGCAGCAGAGCGCCGCCACCGCCCUCGACUGGGGGACCCGCUUCACCAUCGCCCUCGGGGCUGCAGAGGGGCUCUCCUACCUGCACCAUGACUGCAAGCCCCACAUCAUCCAUCGAGACAUUAAAUCCAACAACAUCCUGCUCGACGAUAAUUUUGAGGCCCACGUCGGGGACUUCGGCCUGGCCAAGGUCAUCGACAUGCCCCACUCCAAGUCCAUGUCGGCCGUCGCCGGCUCCUACGGUUACAUUGCACCUGGUGAGCCUCUCUCUCUCUCUCUCUCUCUCUCUUACAGAAACAUCGCCAUUACUACUCCAUAUGGGUAGGACCCCGUAAACCAAAAAAACCUGCCUUUUUUUUUGCUCUCCCUUCUCUCGACCCCAAAGAUCUUGCCACUGGAGAAGCUGAAGAUCUCGGCCAAUAACCCUAAACAGAGAGUCGUCGUCUCUAUUUAUGUUCUCACGACAUUCUGAAGUCAACGUUGCUCUACUUCCUCUUCCUUCCAUCUCCAUGACAGAGUACGCGUACACCAUGAAGGUCAACGAGAAGUGCGACAUUUACAGCUACGGAGUUGUCCUCCUGGAGUUGCUGACCGGCAAGAGACCCGUGCAACCCUUGGAGCAAGGCGGCGACCUGGUGACGUGGACGAGGAACUACAUUAAGUCAAACUCGUUGGAUUCCACGAUACUCGAUCGCCGAUUAGACGUCGGAGACGGGGCGACUGUCGAUCACAUGAUCUCGGUCAUGAAAAUUGCCUUGUUAUGUACCAGUAAGUCCCCAUUUGACCGGCCACCGAUGCGGCAAGUGGUGUCGAUGCUGAUCGAGUCAAAGGAGGGAGAAGGGCGCCCUGCGGGCUCCCCGCCUUCUUCUCUGAAUCACUUCCCGACGGAGGACUCCAUGUAAAGGCAUCGGCGCAUUUUGUGCCGGCGGCAGCCCCGUUGACUCCCUGUAGCAGGUGAUGGAGCUUCACUUGAUCAGCUCCAUUAAAAUUAACGACUCCAUUUUUUUCUAUUUUAUUACUUACAUGUUUGGGCUGUCAGGGGCUAGAGAGAGAGAGAGAACAGCCAAAACAUGGUCGACUCAAAUCAAUGUCAAAAAGUCAACAGAAUUGGCCAUAUAUAGGAUGAGUCAAAAUAAGGUCAUGCAUUCAGCCCCACAAUUUUCUUCCUCACUGAGCCUGAUACGCUCGCGGUCAGAACUCCAGUCCCAACAAGAUUCAAGUCAAAGAAGACAAAAUCCUCCUUAGUCAUGGUUUUGACUCAGAUCAAGGUCUACAUGAUUCGUAGCCAUUAGAAAUUAGUCAAAAAAAUUGACCACAAAUGUAACGAGUUCAACUGAGGGCAAUAACACUCGUCACGGAUAGAGCCCCGCACCUUGACCUCAAGCUGUUGACUUUAGUCCCCACUGAGCUUACAAUUAUUUGCUAGAGAGAGAGAGAGAGAGAGAGAGAGAGAGAGAGNNNNNNNNNNNNNNNNNNNNGAGAGAGAGAGAGAGAGAGAGAGAGAGUACAAUUAUGGAAAAUGAGCAGAGGUCUGGCAUUGGUUAGAGGUUAGCCCGCACAUCACACAUCCUUGGAGUUGACUCCGCUAUUUCCUACUGCAACUUCUUUUGACUCCACAAAAUCCUAUCCAAUUUCGCAGGCGAAACAAGUCAACCUGCAAGCUGGAACCUUGGACGACCACCAUGCUCCUGGCUCUUGACCUCGGGCAUUACCAAAUCAGGGCUUCUCAGCCACGCCGACAUCUCUGCCUCCAGCUCCUUGCUCAGAAUUCUGCAGAAGAAAGAGGAGAAUGAGUCAUCUUUCAUCCCGUGAUCUUCUCCCCAGGUGUGGAUAAGACCAUGGAAAUGGGGACAGAUAAGCGAACAGAAACCCCACCCCCCUCGGUCCAGGGGGCUGACAAAACCCGGAAAGUCAACGCCCCAAUCAUCUUGAUCCCGUGAUCUUCUUCCCAAGUGUGGAUAAACAAACAUGGAAAUGGCGAUAGAUAAACAAGCACAUGCACCGCCCCCUUCCCCCUCACCUGAGGAUGCCCUUCCAAAUGGGGAAGCCCGGCGUGCUGCUGACGAGGAGGAUCAACACGGUUAGCCAAAUUGGGGGCAGCCGGGUGAGGCAGAGCCGGGUCGGUCUUGCCAGCCUGGGGAGCCACAUGGCCAAAGAAGGCCUGAAAUGGCUGCAUGGGCGGCGGCCCCUGGCUCAGAGGGGCCGCGCUGGCUCGGGCCAUGUGAGAGCCCGACAGGACCGGGAGAAAUGGCGGCAUGGGGCCGGCCAGAGUCCCCAUCCCCAAGCCCAUGUUCAUGCCCAUCGGCACCGCCAUUCCCAUCGGCGGCGGCACAAACUGAUGGACCCUGGGGAACAUCAUCGGGAACAUGUUGCAGCCCAUGGACAUCAUCUGAAACCAAGAUCCAAGAGAUGAGCUACUUUCGCAAGAAAGAAGAAGAAGAAGAAGAAGAAGGAAAAAGGUGACAUUUUUGGUCAACAACUUGGUCUGAAAGGAGCAUGAUCAUCGAUGGUGAUGAUCCUGAUUUCAGGGCAGAUGUGGGCUAGACUUUGCUCAUUGCACACACCUGAAUUUGCAUCUGGAGAGACUUCAAGUACCGGAUUGCAUCGUCCAACAUCGAUGCCUUGUCUGACUGAAAAUUUUUGGGAGAAAAUGGGCCCGGAUAUUCAAAAAAAAAAUCACAAGGAAGGGGGAGAACGAGGGUAAGGACGCGGUUGGAGACGGAGGGUUGACCUUGUUGCACCGGGGAAUGAGCUCCUGCAAGGCCUUCAUCUUCUCAUUGAUCCUGUCCCUCCGCCUCUGCAAGGAGAGAAGAACCCGCCAUUAGGGCACUCUCAGCCUGGCCAGGUCGAGGUUCAGAGAGAGGAAGAGAAGGAGCUGAGCAGCCACUGACCCUCUCCGAGAGGUUGUGGACCUCUGCAGCACGCGGCCUCCGCUUCGGCGCUGAUCUCCUGGUGUCAUCCUGCUUGUCGAUCGACUGAGAAAGAGAAGAAAGAGCCGUGAGAUAGAACAGCAGGCAUCCAAGAAAGAAUAUGCUACAGGCAGAUGGUAUUAGUUGGACAAUAAUUCGGAUUGUUACCAAAAAUUAUAUAUUUUACUGAGAAAUGCAGAUUUAAUUCUUCCGCGCCGCUGCAGAGGGAUCCCUUCCGGUGUGCUCUAAUUAAAAAUUAGUAAUCUGUUCUAUUCUACACUACCUCGCAUGCUUAUUCAUAUAGAGAUAUUUAUACUAACUCUGAUAGGGUAUGGUAUGCGGCAGCUAAUCAGAUCCAGACGAGAUAUUGCAAAAUCACAAAACCCAAAUAAUCCAAAAGGGUUCUUGAUGACGAUCCAAGUUAAAAGAAUUUGCAAGUUGUUCUGCUUCGUUCACUAGCUGAUCUAUUUGGUGGCUCUAACCGCAACUAAACAUGGUCAAUAUAAGAUUUUGUUUGCCCCGAUGGGUUUAUACCCACAGAAAUUUUUGGUCCAGUGGGUUUCCUCACAGUUCCAUCUUUUCCUAAGAUUUCAGAGCCUACUCUUCUGUUCUUGCAAUUUAUAAACCCAUGUGUAUGAGAGAGAGAGAGGGAGGGAGGGAGAGAGAGAGCUGACCUCACUGAGGGAAUCUGAGUCGUCAGCCUCUGCCGCCUUCCGCUUCCGGGCUUCCGGGCGCGGCGCAGCCUGAUCGGCUGCUUCCGCCUCACAGAUCACUGCCGAUGAUGACGUCAGCCCCUGCUCGCAAAUAGCCGUUUCUCCGGUUUCCCCCUUUUCACGGCCGGAGGAAGCCCUAGGCUCCGGCGGGCCACCCAUCGUCGGGUCCGAAGUCGCGCUCGAGUCCACGAUGGCCGAUUCCCCCGAUCCAAGUGAUCGCAAGAGCUUCUCCUGCACCUCCGGUGGCUUCCCCGACGCCCCCCAGCCAUCUCCGUCCGUCCAAGGGACCACAGCCGCGGUCGUCUGGGGCUUCUCAGGGAGGUCAACACGAUCGGCAUACCCGACGGUGCCGCGUUCUUCGCCGUCCCCUAGUUGAUAGUCCAGCCAAGAAGCCAUCUCGUCCUCCUCCAGAAACGGCUCGGCCGCCGCCGCCCCUGCCGACACUGAAGAAGCCGAAAUCCCGCUGCGGUUGCGGAGUUCCUCCUGCGACGUCCGCCGGUAAACUGGCCCGUUGUCCCAUAGCAGCUCCACGAAGUCCUCCCCCGACCUGAAUCACCAGACGAAUCCAGCCCAAACGAUCGAAUCAGUCACACCAGAAUAAUCGCAGAAAGAGAUAGAUGGACAGAUUAUCCGGGCAGAUGCAGUCACUGACAAGUCGGCGAGGUUUCGGACACAGGAUGAGGGGAAGACGGUAUCGUCCUCCAGGAAGAACUCGGGAACACAGCAAUUCAUGAUCUCUCUUCCACCAGGAGCGAAUCGAGCAACAGAUUCAGAGCGAGCGAGUCACAGAGAGAUAGAGAGGGGCAGCGGCGGGGGGGAGAGGAUGGGUCUGACUCCGAAUUUAUUGCGGCCGUUCGCAGAUCUCUCUCUCUCUCUUUCUCUCCCUUCUGGAUAAUGGCUCUGCAAAAAAGGAGGGAGGAGGAAGAAGACGCCGGUGGAGGUGAAGAAGAGAGGGCAGGUGGGCCCCAGAGGAUCGAUGACGUGUACAUCAUCUGUGGCGGCGCCCCCCUGCCGAAUCAGUUUCUUCCUCCCCUUCCUUCCCCUGGGCAUCCUCUCUGUCGCACUUUUACACGGAGCCCCCUCAUAAAUCACGCACACUCAUAAUGAGGCAUCUGACGCAGGGCCCAUUUUUAAUUAUCCAUUUUGAGAUUAGCCCCUAGAGUAAGCGCCCAUGUCGUGGAUAGCCUCGCUAGUGGUACUGACGAUGACGGCCGAAAUAGUUUUAUAUUUUUAUAUAUGUCCACUGGCCUAUUUGCCACCGGGUCAAACACAAACGGCUCGGAGCCCAGGCCCAGUUAGAUCCCUUUCAGACCUCCACUGCUCCACUUGAUGUCGACAAGAUCCCUAACUGCGAAAAAGAGCCAAUAAUGGGUAUCAUUUUUAGUUCCCAUAUUUCGCAGGGUGUUAUUCGCAAAGAAGCCACAACCCCCGUGGAAUGCAUUCUGGGAAUGCGAACUGAAGCCGCGACGCGGGGGCUGUGCGAGGAUCUCCCAGAAUGAAUUACAGAACCAGUAGGAAGCGUACCAUGAACGGGGGAAAUACAGCAAAAAAAAUUCUCCUGCUGGGCCAUCUCUCGACGCCGGGAAUCACAAGUCAAUGACCCGGGUAUCUGGACGUUGACUCCCGGAGGCGAUGAGGUUGACUUCGGUCAGAACACUCCCAGGAGCGUGGCUGCGGCGAAGACGAGGAAGAGGACUCCUCCCAGGUAGCCGACCUGGCAGUGGAGAUCGAUUGAGAAGGGGAAAAAAAAUCUGGGGGAGGUGGUAGAAACAGGCAGGAGGGGUCCUCACCAGCUUUUCAGAGAUGUACUUCGCCAGAAACGCUCCUCCCAAGACCGCGAAGGAGGUCGCCACCAGAUGCCCUGCAAUGGCGCCGGUGGCCACUCCCCAAGGAGACUGCAAUGGGAAGCCCAAUCACCGCACGGUCCGCACCAGUAGAGAGAGAGAGAGAGAGAGAGAGAGAGAGGUGGGCAAGGAUGGGCACCUGGGCAGCGCCGAGGGCGAUUGUGGCCAGCAUCGAGCGAUCCCCCCAUUCCUGGGAAAGGCGAUCUUCGUCAGAUCUUUAGACAAGAUGCGGCAAGAAGGAAAUUAUUUCCAGUGAUUAUGCAUCUUAGUAAAUAAGGAAGCUCACUGCGAAAAAUACGAGGCUGAAAGAUUUUGAAAUGAUCUCAAAUGGGCUCGUGAGCUUCUUCGCGACCUGAGUGCAGUAAUGGAAUUAGUACCAAAAAUAGAAAUAUUCCACUGUUAGAACCCGGAGAGAAUGUCGCUGACCUUUUCCUUCACAAUCUCCUCGGCUUCGACGAGCUCUCCGAGCUCUGGGCCCUCGUUUUGCUUGUCAACAACAGCUGGCGGGAGGUCCCAUGCGUUUUUUAUCGAACUCAACCCAAAGUAUAUGAGAAGCACGACUGCCGCAUAUUCUCCAAUAGGCAACGCUGUAAUCGACGAUCCGCCGUCAAUAUGCUGUGCCAAUUAAGAGGUACUUUAUAGAAGAAUAUGAGGGGAUAUCAUCCGAAUUUAUGAAUUAAUAUGUGCAAACAUGGAAUUAAUCGUCAGAACCAACAAAUAAACGAUUCGGGGGGGAAAUUACUAAUUUUUUUUCGGAUUCCGGAUUCCCUUCAAUCGAAAUCCAAUCACGGGGCUGCUCCAUGGUCAUCCACAAUAAAUUUUUAUGCAGAAAGCUUCAUGAAAGAAAUUAAAAUUUAUCGAUGAUGAUUCUAAAACGCUAAUACUGGAAACAUAAUAUCCAGGGUGGGAUCAAAGCCCAAUCCGAUCUGGGCAUCAAUCAAGCACAAAAUCAGACCAGCCAGAUCAGGCAAUCCGAGGUCUGGGCGAGUUAUAUGGGUCAGAUGAACUGGGUUCAAUCAUUGCGGCUUCAGCUACAUAUUUGCACACACACACAUAAAAACAGGGGAGAAAACGAUACAAAAGGCUAUAAAUAUUUCCACAGAGGAUGCAAAUAAAUUACAUGAAACAAGAAUUAAUUCAAAAGCUAAACAACAAUUUAUUUCCUAAUAAAAGAAGACAACAGAAGAGCAGAAGACCAGAUACUCCGUUAUCCUAGAAAGCAGGAAUGGGCGAGAUUAUAAGACUUACUUGUCUGAAACUGGGCUGGAACAGAUUGAAAAAUCCGCCCUAUGAUGACAGAUAGGAUAGUCAUGAGUGCAAGAGCACCCAUUGAACCCAAUAAGACCUGAACAGGUUAAAAAGGGUAAAAACUAGUUGAGCAUAUGAGUUGAAACGAAUAAGAAAUGAGGAACAUUGACCAUAAUUUAAAGAUCAUACCAAUGCUUUCUCAUAUUGCAUAGCGAGCAAUGCGGCGAUGAAAAAUGUCUGCAAAUACACCAAAAAUAGACUAACUUUAUCACCAGUGCUUUCACUAACCUCUGAUAUUGAAACAUGGGAUAUAUAAAAUAGGUGAGACUACUAAUUAAAUUGGGCUCCAAAAAACUGCAUCUUGCUUGGAAACUAUAAAAGUAAAUUUUGUCAUCAUCCAAAAAAAAAAAAGGUUCUGGGAUGCACUGAUAUGAAGAUCAACAUAAAAUAUCAAAAGGUCAAACUGGUCAAACAUGACAUCCUCUAAAGAAAGAUUCAUAUAUAUAUAUAUAUAUAUAUAUAUAUAUAUAUAUAUAUAUAUAUGUCAUCCAUAACCAAACAUUUACGAGUUGGUUGGGCCAUCUAUAACACUAUGUUCUUCCAGGGAAGGGUCAGGAACAUAUCUUAUCACCAGGGUUACAGCAUUGGUCUAUGCUUUGGGAUGUGAGAAGUUGAACUUUAGUCAUCCAUGUAUGGAAUUUUUUCUCUCCCAAAUAUAGUUAGGCCUCAGCAAUGCAAUGUAAAUUAAUGAAAAUAUUACUUGUUUUGUUUCAGCAAGGUCGGAGAAGUGGUCAAGAAAUCUAAGUGACAGGAAAAAAUAAAUACUACAGUGCAUGCACAGAUCGAUAAAGUUAUGAAACCAUUACAAUUAAAUGAUACACGAUACAGCAGGAAAUCUUGACUCUGGUCAAAUUGCCACAAGCUGAUGUAAAGAAAAAUUAUUCAUGCCAAAUUUAACAAAAACAUGACAAAAAUUGCAAAGAGAAAUACCAAGGGAAAGAUCUAAAAAAAAAAGAGAACGAAUUUAUUUUCAUGGUAAACAAAAAUGAAUAUUGAUUUUAUGAUGUUUACGUGGGUCUCUAGAUAAUUAACUGGGUUCCUUAGGAGACAACCAAAUGUCCAGUUAUGCUACUGAAAAACAAAUGGUAGGACGUAAAAAGGGGUAAAGAAUAGAACACGGUAAGAACCUGAGGUCAGGAACAAUAAAUAUAUCUUAAAGGAAAUCAGUAAGAGCCAAACAAAAGAGACCGUCCUAUGAAUUAGCUACAUCAACUUCGCGCAGACAUUGCGCUACUUAAAAUAGGAUAACAAAAUGAGGGGAAGAUCCUAACAUUAAAUUUAAAAAGACUUCACUGAGCAAGAUUUAAACAUAAACUAUUAAGACAGAAAUACAUGAAAAUGAAAAGUUAUCGAUAUUAUAAGACCUAACUGGAUAGGAACAAGGAAUAGAUGUUUUUUUCCUGCUUAUUUAUCCAGUCAGGGGCCAGCUACUGCCGCCUAUACAUUUGGGUGCCCUGAUGAAAAAAAAAAAACGAAGACUGCUUUGAGGACAAAUAAGACGUUGACAUGAGACAUGGGAAGGGAAGCAAGCUCAGAAACUGCAUUCAAAGUGUAAGGUAGUUCUAAUCAGGUCCAAAAUCAAUUGUCUGAUGCUUUGCAACGAUGAAAAAGAGCUUAAUGUUUAAAUGGACGUGUUUUAAUAAACAGUAUUGAAAGUAAUGAAAAAUAAGUAACUUAAAAUCUAGCAACCAAAAUAUUAUCCUUGUCACAUGAAUAAACAAAAAAAAUCGACAUCUUUUCACCUUGUCACCGAUUUCUGAUACGAAUAUUAAAGUGAAUGCUGCGGUGAAACCAGACUUUGCAACCGCUGCUAUAAUUGUUGAAGGAUUUCCCUUUGAGAGAACAAUAAGCGAAAAUGCAAGUGUACAUCCAAGUAGCACAGCAACCACAGAUACCGGAUAAAUAAUUCUUGAAAGAGGAUUUUCGCUGCAAUAAAAGGAGAAAAUGAGCUACGCUUGAAAAUGUCGAAGUUGAACAAGUUCAUAUAAUUUAUAUAAGACGUACAUAUGUAGAUGCGCAAGUCUAAAUCAUCAGCACGACAUAGGUGUGGAUACUAAAUCCUAGAAGACAUGAAGUACAGAUCCCAUUACAUCCACAGUUGAGGAUAGCCCUUCUAAUCUAAUUUUCUGUUCUUUGUGAUUCAAGAAACGUUUUGACGACAUGAGCAGAAAUCAAGGCUAUGAGGCAUGAAGGAGAAAUUCAAGUGCGGCUUCUUCCAAAUCACAUAAUACAGCGUAAGAAUGAUAAUAACAUCCAUAAAGAAAGUCCUGGCAUCUGGAACUCACCUGUCAGAAGGCGUCCCACCCGUAGAGCCAGUUUGCUGUAUCUUGUUCUCAUCGCCUCCCUUACUUUCUUCAAAACCACCAGCUCCAAUAUUUAUAUUGGAAGCUUGAGCCACAAUUUUAUCACGUAAUGGGUUCACCCUUGAUAUGCAUCUAUAUCUCGCUACAUAGAAAGAAAUAUUCAGUCAUAAUUGAAGGACAGGAUUUUAAAAGAGAAUACAAUAAGAUUGACGAAGAUGACAGAGAACGUGAUAAGCUUUAAGAAAAUAUAAAAAAUAGAAAAACGGUUGUUGAAAAAACAGAUGUAUCCUUAGCAAGUUCUUUGUUAAAAUGGCAAGACUGGACGAAUACAAUUAUGCGUUCAAAGUGAACUUCUUUACUGAAAAUAAUCAAAAUUUGAAAAUUCUGCAUAAUUUCACUUCAAAUCAAAUUAUAAUUCUAAAGACAUCAAGCAGUCUCUAGUUGGUGAAACGGUUUAAAUACCGAUAUAGUUAAUUGGAGUUAUUGUUUAUCACGCAAACGGAAAUAACCCAGAAGAAAAAUAUCUUAUUCCUCGUUAAACACGUAAUCUGAACAAGAUAAUGACAGCAGAGCUCUCGGUUUUCAUCAUUUGAUGCCAGUGCCUUGAGUCGCGUAACUUCUAGAAACUCCACAUUAAUCACUCAAAAACACAUUGUUUAGCUGCACAAAUUACCAUUAAGAGCGUAUUAAAUAUAUAAAUUUAUGAAAAAAUCGGAUUAAGGUGCUAAUUCGGCUUAGUGGCAUGAUGACCUUGUUUGUAUAUAAUAAGAUAAAUAUUCUAGUUAGUAGUUCGUGCUCGUGAUGAAAUUUUUAUUUAUAUCGCCAGUCCUUGGGCCAAAUAUUCAAAUCAGAUUAUACAAAGUAAUUAGCACUCCCUCACAUAUCUUGGAUGCUAGAUAUUUCAUGGGGUGGUGAUGGCAGUUAAGGUUCUCUAAAUUUUCUCCUUCUACCACCGCCUUAUGAGGUAAUUGCCACUCAAUAACGCUUUAAUGUAAUGUAGAAGAAAUUCGUGGUUAAUGCUGCUGUUCCUCAAAUAACACAGUGAUAUUUUCUCCCCACAGAUUUCCACUUUCCGCAUCUGUCGUCCGUUUUUCCUUGAAAAUGGUCAACCCACAAGAAGUGUGAUGACACACAUUUUUCGUGCAAUUAUCCCCGCAAUAAGGAACUAGUGAAAUAUUGAAUGGGGGCAGUUCCAUUUAUUCUAAAUCCUGAGAAACUAACCCAGUUCAACGCCUUUUUUGAUGCUUCACAUUUUUUUAUGGGAUGCAAUAUCAUCCGUUUGUUAGAUCGAUAAAUCACUGGCAAUUACAUAACAUACCUAAUGAGGAGAUACACGUUCCAUCAGUUAUUUCCCCUCACAUCCCAUGAACUUGAGACAAACAGAUGGAAAGAGCUCAGCACAAGCCCAGGACAGGACAAGGGAGCUAGUAGGUAAGCGUAUACUGCCCACAGGUUUUCAAAGCCCUUGGGCAUACCUCCUCUUCAUACCUGUGGGAAAAUACCAUUUCCUUUUACAUGGCUCCCUUAAGAAAAAUUUCCAAGUCUGAUGCCUGAAACAUCCUUUUUACGCAGCCCAUUUCUGUUUUCAGAGAACUGCCCUUUUAUAUGACCCAUUAUCUUUCAAGAAACGGAACCAUUUCUGUUCCACAGACCAUCUGUCCAAUCCUUCUGUGCUAAUAACUCUCUACCACCACUCGUUUCGGUGAGUACUGCAUUCUCCCCCUCUUCCCCAUCCCAACUCCACCCUGGAUUCGUUUCUUUCUCUGGCCCCAUCUAUUCACAUCCAGACCAUGGAAAAAUCCGAUUCAUCCAAUUGUGAAACAUCUUCUAUUCUUCUUCUACAGAAAAUGUGAUUUCUUAGAGAAUAAACAUGAAAAUUACCAUAAAAGAAAAUGUAUCACCUAAAUGGAGAGACUAAAACAGCGAGCACCAAAAUACUGAAAAAAGUGAGCAUUCCCUCAAACCCGAGAUGCCCAUUUUUGCAAUAUUGAUCUAGCAGGCACAGCAUCUCCUGUGCUACGUCGCUAGAGCCCUACAAUGCGAUUUUUCUCGAUGCGUCGUCUACAUUGCCUUGUCGAACACAUCCGCAGUCUGUUCUCCAAAUUACUCUACUUAUAAAACAUUACUGGCCCGAACAUGUAGAAUUAACACCAGUCGUCCCACGCUGCCGUCGCUCCCGAUCCUCGCCGCAGAAAGGGGUCGGUAAUUUUCCCCUUCAUCGGGCUGAGCCCGUGAGCUUCUAGGAGAUCGAGUGUAGGGACAACAGAGAUCUACAAAUCGGAAGAGCCAAUUGGCCGACUGAGAUGGAUCAGAAAGGCACUUACCGUUUAAGCCCGGGGUCCUCACCGGUAAACUUCGAGAGCACGGGGAGGGGAGGGGUCGAAGACACCAACGAAGGGAGUCCUCCAUCUGGAAACUAGCCGCGACUGGAGACAGCACCCCUGCAUCAUAGCCCCGUCGUCCCGGCCUUGGAGAAACACCGCACACUUUCAGAAGUUCCCCCGCAUGAGCCCCCCAGAAACCCUAGAAUCCCUUCCUGAUCUUCUUCCGCCGGGAAGAGCGAGGGUGCCGAUGCCGGGGGAGGCAGAGUGAAGCUGCCACUCCGGAGUUCUUCCGCCGCCUGGCUCCUCCGGCAGUCUAUCUUCUCGUCAUCUGCCACGCGUCAGACCAGGAUGAAAAGCGCAAGCCGGUCCGUUUGGACGCGCACCGGCUACGAGCGUUCCCGCAAAUUUUUUUUUUCACUCUGUCUGUGCUAGUCUACCAUGCACAGUCCCCGUGAAAAUUGAAACGUAUCAUAAAAAUAUGUAUCAGUUUUAUUUAAUAAAUCGAGGGAUAAUGAUAACUUCGCGAAAAUGGAAGAUACAUAGCAGAGGACGACAAUACACGCCAGUGAGUAUACUCCUCUCCUCCCCGCGUCAACCGUAUCUGCUGGUGUGCACGCUCUCCAUGAAAAUUGAAACGUAUAGAUAAAAUAAACUAUGGGCCGGAUCCUUGCCGGAUGCAGUUGGUUCCUCCCAACAGAUCUACUAUGAGUAUCGAAACCAAAAUAAUAAUAAUAAGGUGAGUCAACAGAAUUGGUGGGUUCCAUUAAGUAGACCCUCGCCUUUGAUAGUUCCGACAUACAUAUGAUAUGAGAUUAAACAUCAAUGUCACCAUUCGUCAGUUUUGCCAUUGAGUUAAGUCCCUCCAUUGAGGUGUCAUGGUGCCGUUUCCAUUCGUCCGGGUCACUGGACAUGUUGUUCAUUAUCUCGUUCCAUGUUGCCACAUGUUGAAGUACUCGUGGUUGAGUUGUUACUAGAGUUGGGUUCGGAGUUAAGCCCCAUGUAACAAUCCCCCGCCGUGCAAUCCACCAUCCACAGUGGAGCCUAGCGUAUGUGGUAAUGUUGGAUUAGGGCCUUGAACUACCAGAGGUCAGCCUCCUUUUCCCAAGUCACUUCGGCACUAGGAUUGUCGGCCCACUUAACACGGUAGAUCAUGACCUAGUGAGUGUGGUUGCUGCCACCAUUGUCAAUGACCCAAUGUGUGAGGAUGUUUUUGGCCUGCUCAGUGAAGUGGGUUUGUACGGCCAGUGGUGGCCGUUGCAGGCAAUGUCGAGUUGGGUCAUCAUCAUUUGUGUGAUAUGCCUAGAGGAGAGAGACGUGGAAAACUAGGUGUAUAAUGGCCCAUUCCGGAUCAUGGAGUGUCCGUUGCUGUCCAAGGUGUCUUGCGUGGGGCGUGUCAUGUACUUCCUGAAGGAGUUGUCCUUGAAGUUGCCCACCAAUAGGUGCAUACAGUCACUUGCUGUCUGCAUAAAGUACAUCGUCUUCCACCCAAAACCAACAUGUUUCUCUAGUUUUUACCUAUUGUAGGAGUUGCUUAGUGGAUGGAUAUAUUGAGUAUGCUGACCUAAUGGCGUCUAAGAUCUCCCCUAUACUUGCAGAGGUCGCGGCGAGGCUUUUUGGUGUCUCUUAUCAAUUAAGGGUGUCUACCACCACGUUCGUGUGGCCCAGUUUAUAGUGAAUGGUGAAGUCAAAUUCGGCGAGGAAGUCCUGCCACCUGGCCUACUUUGAAGUGAGCUUCUUCUGAGUGGCAAAGCAACUCGCCACCAUGUUGUUAGUGAAGAUUAUGAAGUGAGAGCCGAGGAGGUAAUGACGCCACAUUUGCAGGCAGUGGACCACGGUAGUCAUCUCCUUCUUGUGUACUGAGUACUGUCGCUCGGUGUCACUGAGCUUCCGACCUUCGAAUGCCACCGGAUGACCAAAUUGCAUCAAUAUGUUGCCUAUAGUGCAGUUUGACACAUCUAUGUGCACCUCAAAGGGGAGAGAGAAGUCAAAGAGUUAGAGGACAUGCUCAGAUGUGAUGUAAAGCUGAACCUAGUCGAAGGUGCACUAGUAUUCUACACUUCAUUCCCACAUCUUGUCUUUUUGAAUUAGGUCUAUAAGUGGGGCUGUGAUCCGAGAGAAGUCUCAGAUGAACUUCUUGUAGUAAUUGGCAAGCUUGAGAAAAGACUGUAGCUCGAUGACGCCUCUUGGUAUUAGCCAUCUGUUAAUCGUGGCCACCUUGGCGUGGUCCAUCUUGAUUUGCUUGUGGCCCACAAUGUGGCCAAGAAAGCCGACCUCUUCAAUGUUGAAGACGCAAUUGGCGGGGUUGAGGUACAAUUGGUGGGCUCAGAGAGUCUCGAAGACCGACCGCAAGUGCUCCACAUGUUCUUCCAUUGACUUGUUGAAAAUCAAAAUGUCAUCCAGGUAUACUACAAUGAAUUUGUCCAAAAAGGUGUGGAAGACAUGGUUCAUGAGGGCAUAAAAAGUGGUAGGUACGUUAGUCAACCCAAACGACAUCACAAUGAACUCGUAAAACCUGUAGUGCGUGACCUGUGCAUGGACCAAAUGUGUCCCAUGCACAGCAACUCCUCGAGUUGCUUCUUCAACUUCCCCAACUAUGCUAGGGCCAUCUUAUAAGGUGCUCAGGCUGGUGGUUUCUCCCUUGAUAAAAGCUCGAUAGAGUGUUCGAUCUCCUGACGUGGAGGUAAGGCCGACGGCAGUUGCUAUGGCAUGAGAAAAUUGAACUCCAAAGAAUUAAGAAUACUUGUGAGUGGGGCGCACCACGAUUCGUGUCUGGUUCCCCUUCCUCUCACACCAUCACUCAGUAUGUGGCGGUCUCCAUGUCGUGUUCCCGUUGGAGCUGAUGGGCUAAGAUCAAUUAUAGAUCUAUUGCCUCCUGUGGUGAUCCAUGUAAGAAACAUGGCUAGUCUCCCCUGCAGAUGAUUAGUCUGUGGCAGUGUAAGAAUAUUUCUAUCUUGGCUCGGACUACAAAGUCCACCCCUAGGAUGGCGUCGAAGUCGUCCAUUUGGAAGAUGAGGAAGUCCAGCUGGUCGCACAACCAUCCGACUCUAGUGGUCAUGCCCUUUGUGAGGCCCAUAGGUGUUGCCACCACUAUAUUCAUCGUCUUCACAUAAUUGGUGGCUAUUGUUAACUUGAAGUUGUGUGUCGCGCCCGAGUUCACAAGCGCACGAACUAGUGCUCCUUUCAAUUCACAGGCUACAAACAAUAGUUGUUAUGGUCCCAUUUGAGGUUCCCUGGUUUGUAGGAUGUUGAACGAUGACAAGGUGUUGUUGUUCGGUACCUCUUCGAUGAGCAGAAGAGUUUGCUCUUAGGUCAAGAUGGAGUUGAGGCAAGCUCAAGUCAUGCAUCUAUCUGCCCAGUCAAGGCAGUCUGCAAUCUAGUGUGGUCCUCCACACACAUGGCAGCCGGUCCACUAGGGCCUCUCGAGUUGAGGUGCCAUCGCCAUUUACAUGGGUCAUGUGCCGUCUCCCCUAUCGUUGCUCAGGCCACCUCUAUUGCGUGUGUUGUCUUUUGUUCUCCCUCUUGGUGCGUUCUCCCCUCUCAACUCUCCUUGAUUUCUAGGGUGGUGGACCAAUUCAUCCGUGAUGGUCAGUGCGGACCGUAGAUCUUGAACGUUCUAGCAUCGCAGCUCCUUUCGGGCCCAUAGUUGUAGGCCUUCUGUGAAGUAGUGCAGCUUGUUCUCCUCGUCCAUCCGUGGUACCUCGAGCACCAAUAUGGAGAACUUCUCUACAUAUUCUCGAAUGGAGCCAUUGUGUUUGAGUUGGCACAUUACUGUUCACGUCACAUGUCUGAAAUUCACCAAGCGAAAUUGAGCUCUGAGCUCUUAUGGCUAGUCCGUCUAACUUUCGACUGAUACUCGUGAGAUAUCUUUUAUUUGAAGGCACCACCAUGUCUUGACAUAUCCCAUUAGAUAAAGACUAGCGAAGAACUACUUCUCUACCUCUAAUGAUGUGCUGACGUUCACAUAACGUUGUAAGUCCCACAAAAAUUCUCUAUCAACAUGACAUCGCGUUCUCCUACAUAGGGUUGAGGUUUUCAGACCUUUGCACGGCUCCAUGUGAUCGUUGCCGUUGACUCGAAUUGUUUCUACAAGUUCUUGAUAUGUGCACUCAUUCUAUCCAGCUGUUCAUGUAUCUUAUUGAGUUUGUUGUUUUGUUCCUCCUGCUAGGCCACGAAGGAUGUGACCAUCUCCCUAGUCUAGGUAUACAACGCCACAAUCUCUUUGUCCAUCUUCUUGCCAAUGGCUUUAUUGUUAGAGGACUAGGUUCACAAUUGCUCUUCUAAUUCUCGGUAGAUUUUGUUGGUCUCUACCUAAAGUUGAGUAGUGAGCAAGUCGACGAUCCUCAUCAGUGACUCUAGCUGCUCCGUCAGUUGGGCGAUCCUCUGUCCCUAAGUGUCACCUACUCUCGUACGUCCUCCUUUGACUUCCAUCUAUCUGGUUAUAGACUAGUAGAGAAAUUGGGCCAAUAUGAAAAAAUACUAACCUUUAAACCUUGCUUUGAUACCAUUAUUACAAAGAGUGUAUGCGGCUCUACCUAAAUCCUUGUUAGAUGCGAUUGGUUCCUCUUAAUGGAUCUACUUUCCGAGUAUCAAAAAUAAAAAAUAGUAAUAAUAAGGUGAGUCCCCGUCUCUCCAUUGAGGUGUCGUGGCGCCAUUCCCAUCCGUCUGUCUGAAUCGCCAGACGUAUUGUCUGUUCUGUCGUUCCGUGUUGCCACGUGUCAGAGCACCCAUGGCUGAACUGUUAUCGGGGUUGGGUUCAGAUUUGGGCCCCGUGUAACAGCUACGCAAAGCCAAAUCGAUCCUACCGUGCACUCCGUGGUCCAUAUCCGUUGGGAAGCGUACGCACCGUGUGGGGUAAAACCGGGGCCCAACGUCUAUGAACUCGACCCGUUGGGAGUGUCCCCCUACUUCGUCUUCACAUCUCCAUUCUCAUCCCACUUCGUCUUCCUCCGUCCUCCCCAGAGCGGCGGCUGUGAAGUCGGCGUGCCGCCACCAGACGAAAGAAGAACACGCAGGCCCUUGGAAGGGAGCCCGACGAUUCCUCGCUUCCACCGGAAGAAGAGCACGUCUCCGGUGACGACCCCCAGAAGGGGCCUGAUGGUCCGUUUGCCCCUGUUGAGCCAGAGGGCCAGUCUGAGCUAUCAGAGCGGUGCACAGCUAUCAGAAGGACCCACCGUCCUCGAGCUCCUGAUGCCGAAUCCCUGAUCAUCUUCAUCGACUGGGUUCCCUUCUUACAGAGGGAUCAGCCGUGUUCCGUAUCUACGGCGGCGAUCUGAACCCGAGGAGACGACCAUUGCUUUGCCGGCGCUAAUAUUUUCCCACGAAAGCGUUGGGGCGAGCUCUGAGGGCUCAGAGAGGCCUCUGGCUCAGCAGGACAAACGGAUGAUCAGGCCCUAUCAGGACGUGGAGGGCCCGCAGCCACUGACUGGAGCUGACCAAGCUGCAAUCCCAUAUGCCCUCCAUGAAUGGUGACAAUGUGGGGAGUCAACUCCCACAUGGCCCGGGGCGCUGGAGAUGGAGGAGGAAGAAUUUCAACUCCCUGUAUUUUCAGGAACUUUCCCCAUGAAUCACUGCAACCCAGGCGGAGUUCUUGGGGCAUGAAUUUUUGAUGUACAAGGGGGGGAUGACUGCUGGCCGGAGAAUUUUGUGGCGGCGGCGGUGGGAUAUGUAUGUACACUGGGGGCUGAGAUCGGUGGGGGAGGAGAGAGGGAGGGAGGCUGAGCAACUACAAAAAUGUUUCCCGGAUGAGGCGGGCGAGCACCCGGGAGGAGAGACGGCUGACGAUCUCGGGGAGCACCCGGGCGGAGAUGCCCGGCAGGACCGGGAGCAGCUCUUGAAUCACCGACGCCACGUUCACGUCCUGCCGAGGUUCAGACAGUAUAAGCGUCAGAGAGCGAGAGAGAGAGAGAGAGAGAGAGAGAGAGAGAGGAGGGGGGGAUAGAGAGAGAUGAAUCAUGUAGAGAAUUAUCUGCCCAUGGGUCGGUGGUAAUCUAGAGAGAGGAUAGAAUCACAUAUGCCUAAGAACCGGAGAUAGCCAUGUCGCCAUUGUAUUAUUGGAAUAGGGCCCAUAGAAUCUAGAGAGAGAGAGAGAGAAGAAAAC
rnacentral:lncRNA from 1 species